rnacentral:rRNA from 1 species
CACGUAGGGUGCAAGCGUUGUCCGGAAUCAUUGGGCGUAAAGAGCUCGUAGGCGGCUUAGUAAGUCGGGUGUGAAAACUCUAGGCUCAACCUAGAGACGCCACCCGAUACUGCUAUAGCUAGAAUCCAGUAGGGGAGUGUGGAAUUCCCAGUGUAGCGGUGAAAUGCGCAGAUAUCAGGAAGAACACCUAUGGCGAAGGCAGCUCUCUGGGACGGUACUGACGCUGAGACGCGAAAGCGUGGGGAGCGAACAGG